rnacentral:rRNA from 1 species
GCAGGCCUAACACAUGCAAGUCGAACGGUAACAGGAAGAAGCUUGCUCUUUGCUGACGAGUGGCGGACGGGUGAGUAAUGUCUGGGAAACUGCCUGAUGGAGGGGGAUAACUACUGGAAACGGUAGCUAAUACCGCAUAACGUCGCAAGACCAAAGAGGGGGACCUUCGGGCCUCUUGCCAUCGGAUGUGCCCAGAUGGGAUUAGCUAGUAGGUGGGGUAACGGCUCACCUAGGCGACGAUCCCUAGCUGGUCUGAGAGGAUGACCAGCCACACUGGAACUGAGACACGGUCCAGACUCCUACGGGAGGCAGCAGUGGGGAAUAUUGCACAAUGGGCGCAAGCCUGAUGCAGCCAUGCCGCGUGUAUGAAGAAGGCCUUCGGGUUGUAAAGUACUUUCAGCGGGGAGGAAGGGAGUAAAGUUAAUACCUUUGCUCAUUGACGUUACCCGCAGAAGAAGCACCGGCUAACUCCGUGCCAGCAGCCGCGG